rnacentral:rRNA from 1 species
AGAGUUUGAUCCUGGCUCAGGAUGAACGCUAGCUACAGGCUUAACACAUGCAAGUCGAGGGGCAGCAUUUUAGUUUGCUUGCAAACUAAAGAUGGCGACCGGCGCACGGGUGAGUAACACGUAUCCAACCUGCCGAUAACUCGGGGAUAGCCUUUCGAAAGAAAGAUUAAUAUCCGAUAGUAUAUUAAAACCGCAUGGUUUUACUAUUAAAGAAUUUCGGUUAUCGAUGGGGAUGCGUUCCAUUAGUUUGUUGGCGGGGUAACGGCCCACCAAGACUACGAUGGAUAGGGGUUCUGAGAGGAAGGUCCCCCACAUUGGAACUGAGACACGGUCCAAACUCCUACGGGAGGCAGCAGUGAGGAAUAUUGGUCAAUGGGCGAGAGCCUGAACCAGCCAAGUAGCGUGAAGGAUGACUGCCCUAUGGGUUGUAAACUUCUUUUAUAUGGGAAUAAAGUUUUCCACGUGUGGAAUUUUGUAUGUACCAUAUGAAUAAGGAUCGGCUAACUCCGUGCCAGCAGCCGCGGUAAUACGGAGGAUCCGAGCGUUAUCCGGAUUUAUUGGGUUUAAAGGGAGCGUAGGUGGAUUGUUAAGUCAGUUGUGAAAGUUUGCGGCUCAACCGUAAAAUUGCAGUUGAAACUGGCAGUCUUGAGUACAGUAGAGGUGGGCGGAAUUCGUGGUGUAGCGGUGAAAUGCUUAGAUAUCACGAAGAACUCCGAUUGCGAAGGCAGCUCACUAGACUGUUACUGACACUGAUGCUCGAAAGUGUGGGUAUCAAACAGGAUUAGAUACCCUGGUAGUCCACACAGUAAACGAUGAAUACUCGCUGUUUGCGAUAUACAGUAAGCGGCCAAGCGAAAGCGUUAAGUAUUCCACCUGGGGAGUACGCCGGCAACGGUGAAACUCAAAGGAAUUGACGGGGGCCCGCACAAGCGGAGGAACAUGUGGUUUAA